GUCCCCAUAGUUAAAUGGACAUAACGAGCGCCUCCUAAGCGCUAGUUCCAGGUUCGACUCCUGGUGGGGACA
rnacentral:tRNA from 1 species